CACGUUGCUAUGGUUGAAGAAGGCAAAAAAGGUUUACUACAUAUCUUUGCAGGUUAUGCGGUUGGAGGAGGACAUGUAUUGCAUAUGGUUUGUGAUUUAACAAUAGCUGCUGACAAUGCCGUUUUUGGCCAGACAGGUCCAAAGGUUGGAAGUCUUGACGCAGGUUAUGGAAGUUCCAUCAUGUCUCGUUUGGUCGGGCCGAAAAAAGCACGUGAAAUGUG